UGUUGAAAUUAUAGUUGCGCAGGUACUUUGUUGACUCCAGAGAACUUCGGGCCAAUCGCACAUCCCCGUGACAGCGACUUUGGAUGCAUUCGGAUGUCAUCCACAUCAACUUUCGAUGCCAGUUUCUGCGCCUACCAUGGUGACCGCGGGUAACAGGGAAUCAGGGUUCCAUUCCGUACAGGGACCCCGAGAAUCGGCUACCACAUGCAAGAAAGGCAGCAGACGCGCAAAUGACCCACUCCUGACAUGGGAAGGUAGUGACAACA